UGCCAGCAGCCGCGGUAAUACGUAUGGUGCAAGCGUUAUCCGGAAUUACUGGGCGUAAAGCGCGUGUAGGCGGUUCGUUAAGUCUGAUGUGAAAGCCCGGGGCUCAACCCCGGAAGUGCAUUGGAAACUGGCGAACUUGAGUACGGGAGAAGAAAGCGGAAUUCCUAGUGUAGAGGUGAAAUUCGUAGAUAUUAGGAGGAACACCAGAGGCGAAGGCGGCUUUCUGGCUCGGAUCUGACGCUGAGGCGCGAAAGCGUGGGUAGCAAACAGGAUUAGAUA
rnacentral:rRNA from 1 species